rnacentral:rRNA from 1 species
UACGUAGGUGGCGAGCGUUGUCCGGAUUUACUGGGCGUAAAGAGCGCGCAGGCGGCUGGUCAAGUCCGAUGUGAAAGCUCCCGGCUUAACUGGGAAAUUGCAUCGGAAACUGAUCGGCUGGAGGCAGGCAGGGGAGAACGGAAUUCCCGGUGUAGCGGUGAAAUGCGCAGAUAUCGGGAGGAACACCGGUGGCGAAGGCGGUUCUCUGGGCCUGUACUGACGCUGAGGAGCGAAAGCGUGGGGAGCGAACAGG